UUUCAACAGGAAAGAUAACUUCUUUUCUAGUGACAGGAACGAAAACUCUGUCCUCCUGUUGAAACAAUAAUUAUGUUGAGACGCGAUUAUAAUUGUGACUGCACACAUUAUUUGAAGCGUGAAGGAAAUAUUAUCUUGAGCGUGGAGAAAUAUUAUUUGAAGCGUGGAGAAAUAUUAUUUGAAGCGUGACGGAAAACAAGCGUCGAUGCGAGGGAGAUCGUCACGUGAAAAGGCCAUGUGCGCUGUUCGAUCAUGUAAACAAAGUGGAAGACAGAAAGUCCAACGUUAGCUAGGCUAUAAGAGAUUCAAAGAGAAUUCAGAUAGGAAAUGGAACUAUUGAACAAUAAAUUCUGCCUGGAAGCAGGAAUUGCGGAAUACAGUGCAAUGGAUCCCCGAUAUUCUAUUUCAAAAGUUAUUGGAGCUAUACAAAGAAUCUUGAUUUAUAGAAGUAUACAGGUUUAAAAAAAAAAAGAAAACAGUGUUGUAAAGAAAGAAAAGGAUUUUACAUUCAAAGAAUUAUGGAUGGCACAGAGAAAUGCCUAUGGAUGACGUCAUAACCAAUUUUGAAAAAUGUUUUGUUUGAAAGAAAAGGAUCUGAAGAAGGAGACAGAUCUAUUUAAAUUCGGAUGGAUUUAUAGACUGCCAGACUUAUUGCUAUCACUUAAUUCUGUACUACUAGAUCUUUUACACUGAGCCUAUAAGUUUUAGACUAGAUGAUUUAUCUAAUUUGAGAAUCCAUGACAUCAAUCUUUAAGCAUUUCAAGAUUACCAAUACAGAAUAUGUACAGAUGCAAUAGCAGAUGAAAUCCCACAUGUACAUACACAAACAGGACACUGAUAUGUUACUGAAAUUUAGAGAUAUUUCAUUUCUCUCUUGUGCGGAUUGAAAUUGAUCUAAGAAAAAAAAAAGGUUUAUGUCAGACUGAAACAAUAUAAUAAACAAUUUUCUUUAA